GGAAGGAUCAUUACCGAAUUGUCAACAUGAAGUUGUUGCUGGCCCUCAAAUGGGGGCAUGUGCACACUCUGUUUACACAUCCACUCACACCUGUGCACUCUCUGUAGUACUGUGGUCUGGGGGUUCUGUCCUCCUACUGUGGUUCUGCGUAUUUAUACACACACACUGUAAUAAAGUCUCAUGGAAUGUAUGCCGCGUUUAACGCAAUGAAAUACAACUUUCAGCAACGGAUCUCUUGGCUCUCGCAUCGAUGAAGAACGCAGCGAAAUGCGAUAAGUAAUGUGAAUUGCAGAAUUCAGUGAAUCAUCGAAUCUUUGAACGCACCUUGCGCCCUUUGGCUAUUCCGAAGGGCAUGCCUGUUUGAGUAUCAUGAACACCUCAACUCUCAUGGCUUGCCAUGAUGAGCUUGGACUUGGGGGUUUUGCUGGCCUACAGUCAGCUCCCCUCAAAUGCAUCAGCUUUCCAGUGUUUGGUGGCACCACAGGUGUGAUAAACAUCUACACGUGUGGUUCCCCACCAUGUAACCUUCAGUGAAUGGAGGUUUGCUGGAGCUCACAAAUGUCUUUCCUCAGUGAAGACAGUUCUUUGAUUGUUUGAUCUCAAAUCAGGUAGGACUACCCGCUGAACUUAAGCAUAUCAAUAAGCGGAGGAAAAGAAACUAACAAGGAUUCCCCUAGUAACUGCGAGU
rnacentral:sRNA from 1 species